GACGAACGCUGGCGGCGUGCUUAACACAUGCAAGUCGAACGAUGAACCCGGAGCUUGCUCCGGUGGAUUAGUGGCGAACGGGUGAGUAACACGUGAGUAACCUGCCCUUGACUCUGGGAUAACUGCGGGAAACUGUAGCUAAUACCGGAUACGACCCUCGGCGGCAUCGCAGGGGGGGGAAAGAAGUUCGGUCAAGGAUGGACUCGCGGCCGAUCAGCUAGCUGGUGAGGUAACGGCCCACCCAGGCGACGACGGGUAGCCGGCCUGAGUGGGUGAGCGGCCACACUGGGACUGAGACACGGCCCAGACUCCUACGGGAGGAAGCAGUGGGGAAUAUUGCACAAUGGGCGCAAGCCUGAUGCAGCAACGCCGCGUGAGGGAUGACGGCCUUCGGGUUGUAAACCUCUUUUAGUAGGGAAGAAGCGAAAGUGACGGUACCUGCAGAAAAAGCACCGGCUAACUACGUGCCAGCCGCCGCGGUAA
rnacentral:rRNA from 1 species